rnacentral:rRNA from 1 species
GUCAGCCGCCGCGGGAACACCGGCGGCCCGAGUGGUGAUCGUGAUUAUUGGGUCUAAAGGGUCCGUAGCCGGUUUGGUCAGUCCUCCGGGAAAUCUGAUAGCUCAACUAUUAGGCUUUCGGGGGAUACUGCCAGACUUGGAACCGGGAGAGGUAAGAGGUACUACAGGGGUAGGAGUGAAAUCUUGUAAUCCCUGUGGGACCACCUGUGGCGAAGGCGUCUUACCAGAACGGGUUCGACGGUGAGGGACGAAAGCUGGGGGCACGAACCGGAUUAGAUACCCGGGUAGUCCCAGCCGUAAACGAUGCUCGCUAGGUGUCAGGCAUGGCGCGACCGUGUCUGGUGCCGCAGGGAAGCCGUGAAGCGAGCCACCUGGGAAGUACGGCCGCAAGGCUGAAACUUAAAGGAAUUGGGCGGGGGAGCACAACAACGGGUGGAGCCCUGCGGUUUAAUUGGACUCAACGCCGGACAACUCACCGGGGGCGACAGCAAUAUGUAGGCCAAGCUGAAGACUUUGCCUGAAUCGCUGAGAAGAGGUGCAUGG